AUUGAACGCUGGCGGCAGGCCUAACACAUGCAAGUCGAGCGGAUGAAGGGAGCUUGCUCCUGGAUUCAGCGGCGGACGGGUGAGUAAUGCCUAGGAAUCUGCCUGGUAGUGGGGGAUAACGUCCGGAAACGGGCGCUAAUACCGCAUACGUCCUGAGGGAGAAAGUGGGGGAUCUUCGGACCUCACGCUAUCAGAUGAGCCUAGGUAGGAUUAGCUAGUUGGUGGGGUAAAGGCCUACCAAGGCGACGAUCCGUAACUGGUCUGAGAGGAUGAGCAGUCACACUGGAACUGAGACACGGUCCAGACUCCUACGGGAGGCAGCAGUAGGGAAUAUUGGGCAAUGGGCGAAAGCCUGAUCCAGCCAUGCCGCGUGUGUGAAGAAGGUCUUCGGAUUGUAAAGCACUUUAAGUUGGGAGGAAGGGCAGUAAGUUAAUACCUUGCUGUUUUGACGUUACCAACAGAAUAAGCACCGGCUAACUUCGUG
rnacentral:rRNA from 1 species